rnacentral:rRNA from 1 species
GGUGAACGCUGGCGGCGUGCCUAAUACAUGCAAGUCGAGCGAACAGACGAGAAGCUUUCGCCUCUGCCGUUAGCGGCUGACGGGUGAGUAACACGUGGAUAACCUACUUAUAAGACUUGGAUGACUUCGGGGAACCGGUGCUACUACCAGAUAAUAUGUUGAACCGCAUGGUUCAGUAGUUAAAGACGGUUUUGCUGUCUCUUAUAGAUGGAUCCGCGCCGCAUUAGCUAGUUGGUAAGGUAACGGCUUACCAAGGCCACGAUGCGUAGCCGAGCUGAGAGGGUGAUCCGCCACACUGGAACUGAGACACGGUCCAAACUCCUAAGGGAGGCAGGCGUAGGGAAUCUUCGGCAAUGGGCGAAAGGCCGACGGCGCCAAGACGGGGGAGUGAAGAAAGGCCUUGGAGUGGAAAAGUCCUUUUGUAGGGAAGAAAAAAUGUGAAAGUAACUCUGCGCGGCUCGACGGUAACUAAUAAGAAAGCCACGGCCAACUACGUG